rnacentral:piRNA from 1 species
UGAUUGGUCCUGGAAGCUACUGUU